rnacentral:rRNA from 1 species
UACAUAGGUGGCAAGCGUUGUCCGGAUUUACUGGGCGUAAAGAGCGCGCAGGCGGUCGAAUCAGUCGAAUGUGAAAGCCCCCGGCUCAACUGGGGAGGGUCAUUCGAUACUGUCCGACUCGAAGGCAGGAGAGGGAAGCGGAAUUCCCGGUGUAGUGGUGAAAUGCGUAGAUAUCGGGAGGAACACCAGUGGCGAAGGCGGCUUUCUGGCCUGUUCUUGACGCUGAGGCACGAAAGCGUGGGGAUCGAACAGG